rnacentral:rRNA from 1 species
UAGGGAAUCUUCCGCAAUGGACGAAAGUCUGACGGAGCAACGCCGCGUGAGUGAAGAAGGAUUUCGGUUCGUAAAACUCUGUUGUUAGGGAAGAAAAAAUGUAUAGUAACUAUAUACAAAAGAGACGGUACCUAACCAGAAAGCCACGGCUAACUACGUGCCAGCAGCCGCGGUAAUACGUAGGUGGCAAGCGUUGUCCGGAAUUAUUGGGCGUAAAGCGCGCGCAGGUGGUUUAGAAAGUCUGAUGUGAAAGCCCACGGCUCAACCGUGGAGAGUCAUUGGAAACUAAUAAACUUGAGUGCAGGAGAGAAAAGUGGAAUUCCUAGUGUAGCGGUGAAAUGCAUAGAGAUUAGGAGGAACACCGGUGGCGAAAGCGGCUUUUUGGCCUGCAACUGACACUGAGGCGCGAAAGCGUGGGGAGCAAACAGG